UCAGAACUUAUGAUAUUAAAAUGUUCCAGAUGCUUCAGGCCUCUGGUUGACUCUCACAAACGUAAAAUCUGGAAGAGGCCCAGAUCAGGAACUUCUGCCUACAUCAGACCUGGAGUUGGCGGUGUUCAGACUUCCGUGGGAAAUCGCUACCAACUUUCAUUCUCCAUUCUUGUACGUACACACAUGUGGAACCUGGAUGUAAUGGCUGAGAUCUGUCAUUUGCAUGGAUCACCCUGGAAUAAAUUAAUGGCAUUUGCUUUCAACACCCAUGUCUGCAAAUCGGCAA